AGAGUUUGAUCAUGGCUCAGAUUGAACGCUGGCGGCAUGCCUUACACAUGCAAGUCGAACGGCAGCACGGGUACUUGUACCUGGUGGCGAGUGGCGAACGGGUGAGUAAUACAUCGGAACGUACCUUAUCGUGGGGGAUAACGCAGCGAAAGCUGUGCUAAUACCGCAUACGCCCUGAGGGGGAAAGCGGGGGAUCGAAAGACCUCGCGCGAUUAGAGCGGCCGAUGCUUGAUUAGCUUGUUGGUGGGGUAAAAGCCCACCAAGGCGACGAUCAAUAGCUGGUCUGAGAGGACGAUCAGCCACGCUGGGACUGAGACACGGCCCAGACUCCUACGGGAGGCAGCAGUGGGGAAUUUUGGACAAUGGGGGCAACCCUGAUCCAGCAAUGCCGCGUGAGUGAAGAAGGCCUUCGGGUUGUAAAGCUCUUUUGUCAGGGAAGAAACACCGGCUCUAACACAGUCCGGGAAUGACGGUACCUGAAGAAUAAGCACCGGCUAACUACGUGCCAGCAGCCGCGGUAAUACGUAGGGUGCAAGCGUUAACCGGAAUUACUGGGCGUAAAGCGUGCGCAGGCGGUUAUACAAGACAGGCGUGAAAUCC
rnacentral:rRNA from 1 species